rnacentral:rRNA from 1 species
ACGAACGCUGGCGGCAUGCCUAAUACAUGCAAGUCGAACGAACACUUCGGUGUUAGUGGCGCACGGGUGCGUAACGCGUGGGAAUCUACCCUUGGGUUCGGAAUAACAGUGGGAAACUACUGCUAAUACCGGAUGAUGACGUAAGUCCAAAGAUUUAUCGCCCAGGGAUGAGCCCGCGUAGGAUUAGCUAGUUGGUAAGGUAAAAGCUUACCAAGGCUACGAUCCUUAGCUGGUCUGAGAGGAUGAUCAGCCACACUGGGACUGAGACACGGCCCAGACUCCUACGGGAGGCAGCAGUAGGGAAUAUUGGACAAUGGGCGAAAGCCUGAUCCAGCAAUGCCGCGUGAGUGAUGAAGGCCUUAGGGUUGUAAAGCUCUUUUACCCGGGAUGAUAAUGACAGUACCGGGAGAAUAAGCCCCGGCUAACUCCGU